AAAGUGUUAGUAUAUUCACUCAUAUGCUUUUUUAGUGAAUAGGGGCAGUGUUGAAAUCAUUUGCCAAGAUAAUGACCGGAACCAGGAGGAAGAAUUUCACUCUGAUGAUGACAACUCAAGAGGUGAGAAUAUACCCACUAAGUUUUAACACCUACACCAUUUUCUUUCAGAAAACACUAAUAUCUCGGAAGUUGUUAGUAAAAAGAAUGGAGGGAAGCUAAUUCUUGGAGAUCAUUCUAAUGAGGCGCAGUCAAGUUCUGUAGGUAAUAUACCUUCAGAAUGUGUUGAAAUUUAAUGCCAUCGAUGAACAAAGUACGCCUGAAGAUCCAUUUGCUACAAAUUCUGAUAGUGACCCCGAUUAUACACCUUCAGGCGAAGAACAUAUUGAGGAAGUAUCUGGCGAAGAUACUAAUAACGCUAGUACAUCCCUCGUCACCAAAAAGAAAAGGAAACAGGGAAGCAUACAGAAAGUAGGUAGGAAACGUGCUAGGAACAUGAACGAGUGGGCAAACGUAAAAUCAAAAACCCUCCUUAAUCUUGGACUUGAACAUAACAACCGAAAGGGAAUCACAGUAAAAGCGAGAAAAUUAGGUGCACCAUGUGGAGAGAAAUGUAGGCUAAAAUGUACUACUAAAAUUAAUGGGAUUGAUCGAUCCCUAAUUUUUGAUGAAUUUUGGCAACUAAAAGAUCAUACACGACAAUGGGACUUUAUCAUGCGUCACGUAAGGCAAUUAGAUAAGAAACAAGUAACUGUUAAAGAUGGACUACAGUCUCGAAGAACUUUUUCACGACAGUAUCAUUUUAAUUUACGCAACGCAGAACUACGUGUAUGCAAAAGUAUGUUCUUAAAAACACUUGACAUUUCAGAAACUUGGGUUGGCACUGCACUGGGAAAAUUAAAGGAAAUGGUACGCUAGAAGAAGACAUGCGUGGUAAACAUAAAACACGACCGCACAAACUUAAAGAAACAAUUAGAGAAAGUGUCAGAACUCACAUAAAAUUAUUUCCUUUAGUUCCUUCACAUUACACGCGCAAAAAUUCGGCAAAAAUGUACCUUGAGGAAGGAUUGAGUAUUCAAAAGAUGUAUCGUUUGUAUACCGAAUAUUGUUCCCAAAAUAAUAUCAUGGAACUUGCAACAUCUCGGCAAUAUAGAGACAUUCUUAAUAAUGAAUUUAACAUGGUUUGUUUAAACCAAAAAAGGAUCAAUGUGAAGUUUGCUCAGUUUUUAACAUGUCAACAGAGCAAGAAAAGGAAAACCUUCGUGAAAAAUACGAGCGUCAUUUGAAAAAUAAGACAGCUGCAAGAGAUUUGAAAGAUGCCGACAAAGAUCUUGGAGUUAACAAUAAAGGGAUUUGUGUGGCGUGUUUUGAUCUCCAAAAAGUUUUGGCUACUCCACAGUCAAACAUUUAUAAUGGCCGAAAGAGUAGAAGAGAUUGUGUCGCAAAUUCUCAACAGUUCAACUCUUCGCAAUACAUUGGAAACUGCGGUUCGACAAGCAACGCAGGGCUCUUCUGCGAGCCCAGAUAGUAACCCGAUUACGUCAGCAGUGCCACCACCAUUGGCACGUAAUGUUGCCACAACAACUAGAGAAGAAUUGAGACGUCUGUUCCCAACAAUCAGAUCUACCUCUGCAGCUGAUCAAUCAAAUAGGAUGAUUGCCUCAAGGACUAACAAUACAAGGAAAAGAAAACGUGCACAUUCUCCCGUGCAUUCAAAUUUCUGCAGGGAUGUUCUAUUAUUGAAAUCACCACGCACAAUCUUGACGCUUAAAGGAAGAGAAAAAACCAAAGCAUUUGAACAAGGCUUUGCAUUUUCGAAAGUAAAGUUUAACUCUGGGUGGAAUCGCGAAGAAGUCAACACUGCAUUUCGAGACUUGUUCCAAUCACUUUUAGCUGAUGUUGAAUUUGAAUUGCUAAUUCCUAUGAGUGGACGCUUAGUGAAGCCAAACCUUCCACCAGGUGGAGAGCUGAAUGGGGAUACAAUUCGAUCAAUAUUCAAUCACAAAAUGAUUUAUAUUAGACCAACUGUUCAGCUAACGACUAUUGAUGUGACUGAUUAUCUAGCGUGUCCCGACGUUCUCAGUGAUAGUUCCCAUGAAGAUGUGGAUAUAGCAAAUCCCGAGGCAAAUCCAGCCUCAUCUGAAAGUCCAAAUGAAAUCCAAGAUGAACACCCUGCAUUGUCACUUGAACAAAGCGAAACGACUUCUGGGACAAACGAGGGACAUUCCGAAUCCGAGAUGACCCUGAAGAGUCUAUUACAGAACCUGAAUGAGCAGAUUACUGAAGAAGGAGUGACAAUGUUCAAUAUAUACCGUGAAGGUAUCUUCGAUUGCUGCCUGAGAGCUCUAAAGCGUUCAUCUUUCUCGCCCUUUCAUAAAAUAUCAGUGAACUUCAGUGAUAUUGAAGGAACAGGUGAAGGAGCCGUAGAUGCUGGAGGUCCUAGUCGAGAAAUGUUCCGACUAGUUCUGAACCAUAUUAAAGAGAGCUCCAUGUUCUGUGGAUCUGAUAAAAAGUAUAUCCGACUAGACAUGAGAGCAAUGAAUGAGAGGCAUUAUUACGCAGCCGGACAAAUGAUUGCCCUUUCUUUAAUCCAUGGAGGAGACGGGCCUCAUUUUUUUUCACAGAGUUUUUAUUCAGUUCUUCGCCAGGAUAUUGCGGAGGGCUUUCCAACUAUCAAUGAUAUUGAUGACCAUCAUAUUCGGGAUGAAUUAAAUAAAUUGUCAAAUGCUACCGAUGCAUCUGUCAUUCAGGAUAUUUUUCACCAUAGCAGGGUAUGAAGUUAUAACAGACAUGAAAACUAAAGAUCAAUUGUUGGAUGAUGUAACAAAAUUCUACGCCUUCCAUCGAAUAAGACCGGCCUUGGAGCAGUUCCGAGAAGGUUUGAACACAGGAAUGAUAUACGAGCUACUGAAGAGUCACCCAAACCUCUUCCAGAAUACUAUGUGCCAGACUGAAGAUAUAACAAGUAAUACACUGGAAAAAUUGUUUUCUAUUAUGUAUAGCGAACAAGGCAGUUCUAAGCGGUCCAUUGAGAACCGUAUAAUAAGCUUCUGGAGAGAUUUCUUGCUUGACUGUGAAGACAAUGUAACAGAGGUAACACUAAAAGACGUCAUUAUUUUCAUUACGGCAGCUGAAACUGUUCCACCUCUGGGCUUCAGCAUUGCACCAAAAAUUACAUUUUUACACGAUGAUGCCACGCUCUAUCCAAAAGCCAACACAUGUGCUUUAGAAAUAUCGCUGCCUACCUGUCACUCAUCCUAUGAUAAAUUCAAACAACAUAUGGCAUUUGGAAUAGGCAACUGCAAGGAUUUUGCAUUUGCGUAAUUUGACUGGCAAUGUUGCCGAGAAUGUGCAAUUAAGUUUUAGUUCUGAUUUUUCGAAAAUAAAAUUUAUUUAGUUUUCCUUUUAUUGAGAAUUCCUUUUCAAUUAACCCUUUUCUAUUAUAUUAAAAUCACUCAACCUAAAAGCUGCUGCCUCUUCAAAAACCACAAAGCACUACG